rnacentral:rRNA from 1 species
UACGUAGGGAGCAAGCGUUGUCCGGAAUCAUUGGGCGUAAAGCGCGCGUAGGCGGCCCUGUAAGUCCGCUGUGAAAGUCAAAGGCUCAACCUUUGAAAGCCGGUGGAUACUGCAGGGCUAGAGUCCGGAAGAGGCGAGUGGAAUUCCUGGUGUAGCGGUGGAAUGCGCAGAUAUCAGGAGGAACACCAAUAGCGAAGGCAGCUCGCUGGGACGUUACUGACACUGAGGCGCGAAAGCGUGGGGAGCGAACAGG